GGGAAGUAAACCGAGCGCUUGGUGAGUGCGGUGGGGCCUGGAGCGCGUGUGAGGGCACACUGUUCGCUUCCCUUUCUGGGGAAGCUGCACUCUGGGAUCCAUGCUUAGCCUCCAGUCUGAUACGGUCCACUCGGGAGUAAGGCGCCCCUGCGGCUGGGCACUGCUGCAGCUCUGCCGGCAGAAGCAGAGCUGCCAGGGUUGGCUGAUUUGUAUCACUGGGGGAAGGUUGGCAUCAGGGACACUUUUAUUCUCUGUGGAAGGAGCAGCAGACCUUUGAGCUGCAGGUAAAGGAAUUUGACUGGAAACUCAACUUUUAAGAAAUAACAAGGAAAAUGGACCUUCUGGCAUCUGGGUGCUCAACAGAGACAGUGGAACACUAUUCUGGCCAGGUUAUAAGGAGGCACAGCACAGGCAGAGUGGAAUAAUAAAAGGAAGCAGAGUAAUAAUGAGAUUUUAUAUAAUGCUCUCUAUCAUGAGUACUUAAAGCUGAAGUUAAUAGUAACCGUGAACUAGCUGCUGUUUCACUAGUUUAGAAAUUACUGAACUGUAGCACUAAUAGUUGUCAAAGUAUGGCAUAAAAAAAAUACUCUGUCACUGAGGUCCUAUGCAUGUAUUAUGUACUGUGGGUAAUGUCAGUAAGAGCUUAGUCAUACCAUACUCUCACAUGAUGUAAUUAAUACAGAGUAAAUGGCUCUGAAAUUUAACACCAGCCAGAGUGUAGUAAUUGUGGAAUUGUCCCAACUCUCAAAGAAUGUGUGAGUGGAUGGUGUUAAUAGCUUGAUCAUGUAGCAGCAAGGGUUUAAACAUAGAUUAUGAAGCAUAUAAUUUGGUUCCUCAAGGGGCAACUAAUUUGACAGCAGGCACCUUGUAGUGGAAGCUGACUUUUUGGUAGAGCUGUGGAACAGGCCAGGUUUUAUUUUUAGGAGCAUAUGAGAUCUGUUGGAUCCUGCAAUUAUUCACGUCUGAUCUGUAGUAUUCCAAGAGCAUUUCCAAGCAUCCUGAUUCACCAGGAUAUGUCUGCUUCUGAUCUUGCUUUAUUUUGGGGUUCAGUGUUUUAAGGAGAAGUACCACUGCUGCAACUACAGCCUACAGCAAGAUCUGUGUCAGAUGUCACAGACUGGCUCUUUAGAAAUCUCACAUACCAGAAGUUUAGGUUUCAGAGGAAUGGCAGGUACUCAGAACUUGCAGAAAUCCUAGCCAAAAUCUUCACUGACCUUAUGUGAGCUGACUGGAAGAGAGAUUCAGAUGUUUUGUCCUUGAGAUCACCAUCCUGAGCCUCAACACCGAAGAUAUUUAAAAUCAGCAGAUGGAUUUCUUACUGUACCAGAUGAAGUAGAACAACUCUAGGUGAUAACAUCUGUGUUGCCUGUGCCUUUGCAUUUGAAGAGUGCUCUCAGGAACACGUGCAAAUACUGCAGGCCCUUUGACCUGCCACGUGCUGACCCCACAGUUGUCUCACAGGCUGACUACAAGGAGCCUUGUCAGUUGUAUCUGCAAGACUGGAGUUGCUCAGGCAUUUGAAGUUGUGGGUGCACCUUCACCCAUAUCUGGGACUGUGUUUACAAUUUCACAGUUUUGGAUCUACCCAAAACUGGACUUCAGAAAGGUCACCAACAGACUUCAAAGAUAAUGUAUGCCCUGACUCAUUUACUUUAGACAGUCCUCUAAAUGGGCACUGACCUCCUGUGUCUUUGUGCUGGACAGUCUCUGUUAAGAAAUCCUGUAACUUGCUGUCUUCUUUUGCACUGCACUGCUGUAUCUUCUCAUUUAGUUAGUAUUAAACUUUUAAUCAAACAUAAUGCUUUAAGGAUCUGGAUCUUGAAAUUUGUUGGCAGAUUCUUUAGUAUUCAUCCUUCUCAUCUGAAAAAUUGCUUAGCUCUCCUAUGGCAGUUAAGACAUAAAAACCUCCCCUGAAUCUGAAUCUUUGGUGGGUACAGAAGUCUGAAGGCUUCUGGCGUUUCUAAUGGCUAUGCUAUUUUGUUUGCUGCUGUCAGCAUUUCUUUUUAUUAACAGAUACUAUGUUUGUUUCUCAUUUAGCCUGGCAGCUUAACGUUUAAAGUAGGUGAGAAUCUGAUUUUACUUACAGAAUACUUCAUUUAUUUAAGGUUUUUUGAAAUGACUUGUUUAAUGGAUGUAUCACACCUUGGCUGAUGAUCUGUCCCUCUUUCUGUGCAAUUACAGUUCUACGCAACAAAGAAAGAGUGGGAUAUGUGUAUCCAGGCAAAACUAAAUCACUUAAGCAGAAAAUAAAGUCUGUUGAAACGCUACAUAAAUGCUGAACAUGCACCUUUUUUAAUUGAGCCUGAUAAACAGAGAGAUUCCCAGCAUAUCCUGAAAGUUUAGUCCCUGGACCAAGUCAAAAAAUGACGCACUACUUGUCAAGGUAAAAUACAAGUUACAAGUCAAACAACUAGUCCUUUUAAGAAACAGUGAAUAUGUGUAAAUUGGCGAUUGUUUUAGAGCUUCUUGGUUUGACUCAAUUCAUAAAUUUAGUUUAUCAGUUAAAAAAUUUGCUGCACCGAGAACUUGAUUGUCACCCUCCUCACAGAGAUGGAACCUUAUGUGCUAAAGUGCAGGCUGACAUAGAAAGCCUUUGAAGUUUACAGUGCUAGUCAGAGAUGUGCCUGUACCCAAGAGCCAAGUCUGUUUAGUGGCAAUUACUAAAUCUGUAAAUACUUUUGAUUCAUAGAAUCAUGAAUCAUGAUUCUGUAAAUACUUUUGAUUGAUGGUUUUAAAGAGAGAGACAAUUCUUGAAUGUCAACUCAC